rnacentral:lncRNA from 1 species
AAUCUCCACACAUCUUGCGCCUGGGCAGAGGCCACGCAGAGCAGAGGAGGCAGCUGUCAAGAGAGCGAGACCUCACUGGAGGCCAUCCCAUCACCAAAGGCAGCCACCAGCCAGGCGGAUGUGGCCCUCAUCCAGACCUCCCGCCAGAUGGCCACCCACUGGUCAUUCCAAGACCUCAUCAGGAGCAAAGGCCUCUCUGCCUCUGCCUACCACACGGCUGUGCCCUGCCCUUCAGCUCUCUUCUGAAGGAGAGAGGAGACCCGUGGCAGGACCAGGGUGGGGCAUGAAGCUGGCUCUGGGAGCAGAACGGGCCCUCUGGGGGUGUGUGAACCCUUCCAGUCACAGACGGAUUUGCUUUCAUCAACCUGGUGCCAAUUUCCACUUAAAAAAUGAUAUCCAGGAAAGACCAAGAACCUAGAAAGGAAAAAUGAAUCUCGGCUCCGACAGAUAGACGGGAGCCAGAGCUUCCCUACCAUGGAGCUGACGCUGUAACCACCUGUCUUUGUGGCAAAGAUGCAAGGUGAUGGGGAAUAUUUGGAUAGGCAUGUGGGGCUUGUGCUGAGGCCAAUGGUCAGUGGAAGUGAAAAGGAUGAGGGGUGAGGCGUUUGCAGCCUAGAACAGACAGACACUGGGACCGGCAAGCAUGCAGAUGAUAGGAGCAAAAGUGAGCGACAAGAGAGCAGCGACAGCUCAAGCACAUGAACAAGCACAGGGCACUGACUUUGAUCAGCCCAGGGUUGGUACCACCUCUGAACUGUGAGAGAACAGGGUGGGGAGGGAGAGUUUGAUGGUUUUCCAGAAAGUUAUUGUGGCAGCUUCAACCCUCAUCAGGAAGCUGCUUCUGCCCCUUUGUGACAGGGAGAAGAACGAGGUAACCUGGCAAACCCAGAGCAUUAAAAUGAGGGAAUCAGGGCCAGGCAUGGUGGCUCAUGCCUAUAAUCCCAGCACUUUGGGAGGCUGAGGCACACGGAUCACUUGAGGUCAGGAGUUCGAAACCAACCUGGCCAACAUGGUGAAACCCCUUCUCAGGGCUGGGAGGGGAGGAACUGUUCUGGGCCUCUCUCCUUGGCUUACAGAGGGACAUCUACUCCCUGUGUCUCCUCACAUCAUCUCCCACUAUACCUGUCUGUCUCUGUGUCCAAAUUGCCCCUUUUUAUAAGGACACCAGUUGGAUUGGAUUAGGGCCCACCCUAAUGACCUCAUUUUAAAUUGAUUACCUCUGCAAAAACUCAAUCUCCAAAUAAAAUCAUAUUCUGGGGUGCUGUGGGUUAGGACUCCAACCUAUCUUUUUGGGGGUGGUGGGGAUUGCCUCAUAAUUUAGUGCAAAACACCUCCAGACCAGAUCACCUUAAUAACAGAACUGACGAAGCCCCUGGGAUUGAGUUUAGCACUUGCAGUUCAUGACCCAGCAGGAGUCACAGAGACAGACCCUGGCUGAGCUCGGUGGCUCACGCCUAUAAUCCCAGCACUUUGGGAGGCUGAGGCAGGUGGAUCACCUGAGGUCAAGAGUUCAAGACCAGUCUGGCCAACAUGGUGAAACCCCAUCUCUACUAAAAAUACAAAAAUUAGCUGGGCGUGGUGGCAGGCACCUGUAAUCCCAGCUACUCAGGAGGCUGAGGCAGGAGAAUCUCUUGAACCCGGGAGGCAGAGGUUGCAGUGAGCCAAGAUUGCACCAUUGCACUCCAGCCUGGGCAACAAGAGUGAAACUCCAUCUCAAAAAAAAAAAGAAAGAAAGACCCCCAAUUACAGAGGGUAGACUUAGCACCAUCCUGACUACCUCUAACAGGUUUUCCAAAAAAAUCAAGGCUCUGUGUAGUGUUUUAAGGUUUUUUGUUUAUUUGAGUCACUUAUUUAUUUUUCUUGCAAAAUAAUCAUUCUACAGGGAUAAAUGCCUUUAUUUGUAUUCCUAACUGAGAAUGAGCACAGUCUUUUGUGUUGGCUGGGCUCAUUAGAAACAAGUCCCUGAGGUCUACAAUGGGCUCAUUUUCACAGUUACUAAGUAAAGUCAACCUCUUAUGAAAAUCGUAGUUUACAACUUUAAGUAAAUA